AGCUUGCUGGGUGGAUUAGUGGCGAACGGGUGAGUAACACGUGAGUAACCUGCCCCUGACUCUGGGAUAAGCGUUGGAAACGACGUCUAAUACUGGAUAUGACUACCGGCCGCAUGGUCUGGUGGUGGAAAGAUUUUUUGGUUGGGGAUGGACUCGCGGCCUAUCAGCUUGUUGGUGAGGUAAUGGCUCACCAAGGCGACGACGGGUAGCCGGCCUGAGAGGGUGACCGGCCACACUGGGACUGAGACACGGCCCAGACUCCUACGGGAGGCAGCAGUGGGGAAUAUUGCACAAUGGGCGAAAGCCUGAUGCAGCAACGCCGCGUGAGGGAUGACGGCCUUCGGGUUGUAAACCUCUUUUAGUAGGGAAGAAGCGACUGAGUUUACUCUGAGUGACGGUACCUGCAGAAAAAGCACCGGCUAACUACGUGCCAGCAGCCGCGGUAAUACGUAGGGUGCAAGCGUUGUCCGGAAUUAUUGGGCGUAAAGAGCUCGUAGGCGGUUUGUCGCGUCUGCUGUGAAAUCCCGAGGCUCAACCUCGGGCUUGCAGUGGGUACGGGCAGACUAGAGUGCGGUAGGGGAGAUUGGAAUUCCUGGUGUAGCGGUGGAAUGCGCAGAUAUCAGGAGGAACACCGAUGGCGAAGGCAGAUCUCUGGGCCGUAACUGACGCUGAGGAGCGAAAGCAUGGGGAGCGAACAGGAUUAGAUACCCUGGUAGUCCAUGCCGUAAACGUUGGGCGCUAGAUGUAGGGACCUUUCCACGGUUUCUGUGUCGUAGCUAACGCAUUAAGCGCCCCGCCUGGGGAGUACGGCCGCAAGGCUAAAACUCAAAGGAAUUGACGGGGGCCCGCACAAGCGGCGGAGCAUGCGGAUUAAUUCGAUGCAACGCGAAGAACCUUACCAAGGCUUGACAUACACCGGAAACGGCCAGAGAUGGUCGCCCCCUUGUGGUCGGUGUACAGGUGGUGCAUGGUUGUCGUCAGCUCGUGUCGUGAGAUGUUGGGUUAAGU
rnacentral:rRNA from 1 species